rnacentral:rRNA from 1 species
AAUGAACGCUGGCGGCAUGCCUAACACAUGCAAGUCGAACGAAGGCUUCGGCCUUAGUGGCGCACGGGUGCGUAACGCGUGGGAAUCUGCCCUUGGGUUCGGAAUAACAGUUAGAAAUGGCUGCUAAUACCGGAUGAUGUCGUAAGACCAAAGAUUUAUCGCCCAAGGAUGAGCCCGCGUAGGAUUAGCUAGUUGGUGGGGUAAAGGCCUACCAAGGCGACGAUCCUUAGCUGGUCUGAGAGGAUGAUCAGCCACACUGGGACUGAGACACGGCCCAGACUCCUACGGGAGGCAGCAGUGGGGAAUAUUGGACAAUGGGCGAAAGCCUGAUCCAGCAAUGCCGCGUGAGUGAUGAAGGCCUUAGGGUUGUAAAGCUCUUUUACCCGGGAUGAUAAUGACAGUACCGGGAGAAUAAGCUCCGGCUAACUUCGUG